rnacentral:rRNA from 1 species
CCUACGGGUGGCAGCAGUGGGGAAUAUUGCGCAAUGGACGAAAGCCUGACGCAGCGACGCCGCGUGAGGGAUGAAGGUCUUCGGAUCGUAAACCUCUGUCAGCAGGGAAGAACGGUCACUGUGCUAAUCAGCAGUGAAUUGACGGUACCUGCAAAGGAAGCACCGGCUAACUCCGUGCCAGCAGCUGCGGUAAUACGGAGGGUUCGAGCGUUAAUCGGAUUUACUGGGCGUAAAGCGCUCGUAGGCGGUAUGUCAAGUCAAGGGUGAAAUCCCCGCGCUCAACGUGGGAACUGCCUUUGAAACUGGCAGACUGGAGUAUGGGAGAGGAUAGUGGAAUUCGAGGUGUAGGAGUGAAAUCCGUAGAUAUCUGGAAGAACAUCAGUGGCGAAGGCGACUAUCUGGCACAUAACUGACGCUGAGGAGCGAAAGCGUGGGUAGCAAACAGGAUUAGAUACCCGGGUAGUC